AGAGAAUUUCUUGACCCUAUCAGCCAAAGUUUGGAAGAUAAUUAACUAAAUGCUGACAACAGGCUUCCUAACAGUGACUGCAAUAGAUCAGAGGUCAGAACAAGAACCUGAAGACAACCUGGAGAGAUAAAAAAUCUAAUCGCGUGAUAAUUCGAGGAGGUCCAUAUUGUGUCUCCAACAAUCACUCAAAAAAAAAAAUACAAAGAUUCUCUUGGUACAGGUGCACUCGGCAGGACUACUUGGGGUCAUGGUCCUCCAUGUUCGGCUGUGAGUACACAAGGAAACCCUUCAAGAUUGUUUGUUAUUAAGAUCAUCUCCAUAAAUUCCUAUUGACUCAGUGACAAGUUUUGUGUUUAUUUUGUAAAACAAACAUGGAGAAGCUCCCGCAGAAAGAACAUAUGUAUUUUGGAUGAGCUGAGAAGGAUGUCAAAAGUUGAAGCUAACAGAGCCUCAGCUUCAGGCUACUAAUAAAGUUGGAGUCCCGGCUCCAAAGGUCCUCAGUCGAUGAAAGCACAAACAAUAACUUGGCCACAAAGACGAGCGAUGGGAAGCGAGCAGAAAACUUCCAAGGAAGUCUAUUUUGCCAUACUGCCAGAUAAAUAUGAACCUUUGAUCGAGGAUGAAGGAAGCCAGGAGACGCCAGAAGAAAGGUUGAGAAGGAAGGAGAAGAGGAAGAGGAGAAGGAAGAAGUACAUUAAGAAUGUCAAGAAGGCGUGCAGCUUCAGCUGGCGCUGCCUGGUGUAUGGCCUGCAGAGCCUAGCCGCCUCGUUCUCCACGCCGCUGUCAGUUGCCGUCGUGGUGAUGGAGCAUCGAACGAGAAGUGACCAGUGAAUGGAGCCUCACUUCCAUUCUUCCGGUCAAAUGUUUGGAAUGUAAAAUCCUACAUCACUGCAAUCUUGUUGUUGUUGUUGUUUUGUGAGUGUAAAGAGAUUGAUAGAUGUUGUUUUACACGAUAUUUGUUCCUGGAUUGUAUCAAAUAAAAUGUGUGUGUAAACCUUUAACUAAUUGACCAAUCAGUAGGCUAGAGCAGAUCAAGCAAAUACUUUUAAAGAACCUGUAAAGUGAAUUCCAAGAUGAAGUCUGAGAAGGUGAAAAGACCGAGAACUAGUCAUUCUUGGAGCUAUAACGUUAAACUGUUUGUCAUCAUUGUAGUUUUCCAGGGCACAUUUCUACCAUGACAGCGUGCACGUAGCUAGUGUUGUGAAUUUUUAUUCUGGUAUUAUGCAAUGUAUAUCUCACUAGUAAGUGUGACCGGGUCAUGUUCGAGUCAGGUUCGUGCGGGACUGUUUGGGGCUUGGUCCAGGAAUGUAGGCUCAAUAGCACCAGACACAUCUGGUUUCCAUUAACAACUGCUAAGAUAUGCACCGUGUAGAGUUAGGGAGGCUGACUGAGUUAGGGGGGUCAUAGAUCAUCCAAAAGCCCCGUGUGCACGCACCUGAGUGAAAGGAAGUACAGGUUUUAGGGCGAGAGUAGACAAGGGACUCGACAUCUUGGCAAGGACGCGAGACACUUCUCUCUGACAUUGGUUGAAUAAAAUCUUUCCCCAAUGA